AGAGUUUGAUCCUGGCUCCGGAUGAACGCUGGCGGCAUGCCUAAGACAUGCAAGUCGAACGCGAAGGCCCACUGACUUCUGUUGAAAACUAGAGAGCUUGCUCAAAGGUUGGAAACAGUUCGAUGUGGAUUUUCCUUCGAGUGGCAAACGGGUGAGUAACACGUGGGUUACCUGCCUCUUAGUUGGGGAUAACGAUUGGAAACGAUCGAUAAUACCGAAUGUACUCUACGGAGUAAAGAAGCCCUUAAAGCUUCGCUAAGAGAUGGGCCUGCGGCGUAUUAGCUAGUUGGUGGGGUAAUGGCCUACCAAGGCAACGAUGCGUAGCCGAACUGAGAGGUUGAUCGGCCACACUGGGACUGAGACACGGCCCAGACUCCUACGGGAGACAGCAGUUAGGAAUAUUCGUCAAUGGGGGAAACCCUGAACGAGCAAUGCCGCGUGAGUGAUGAAGGUCCUUUGGAUUGUAAAACUCUGUUGUUAAGGAAAAAUGAUAAGAAUAGGAAAUGAUUCUUAUUUGAUGGUACUUUUCAAGAAAGCCACGGCUAACUACGUGCCAGCAGCCGCGGUAAUACGUAGGUGGCGAGCGUUAUCCGAAUUUAUUGGGCGUAAAGCGUGCGCAGACGGUUUAUUAAGUCUAGAAUCAAAGCCCGAAGCUUAACUUCGGUUCGUUCUAGAAACUGGUAGGCUAGAGUGUAGUAGAGGCAAAUGGAAUUUCUAGUGUAGCGGUAAAAUGCGUAGAUAUUAGAAGGAACACCAGUGGCGAAGGCGAUUUGCUGGGCUAUUACUGACGUUCAUGCACGAAAGCGUGGGGAGCAAAUAGGAUUAGAUACCCUAGUAGUCCACGCCGUAA
rnacentral:rRNA from 1 species